rnacentral:rRNA from 1 species
GAUGAACGCUAGCGGCAGGCCUAACACAUGCAAGUCGAGGGGUAGAGGUUGCUUGCAACCUUGAGACCGGCGCACGGGUGCGUAACGCGUAUGCAAUCUGCCUUGUACUGAGGGAUAGCCCAGAGAAAUUUGGAUUAAUAACUCAUAGUAUCGUUUCCCGGCAUCGGGAGAUUAUUAAAGUUCCAAGGGUACAAGAUGAGCAUGCGUCCCAUUAGCUGGUUGGUAUGGUAACGGCAUACCAAGGCAAUGAUGGGUAGGGGUCCUGAGAGGGAGAUCCCCCACGCUGGUACUGAGACACGGACCAGACUCCUACGGGAGGCAGCAGUGAGGAAUAUUGGUCAAUGGGCGCAAGCCUGAACCAGCCAUGCCGCGUGCAGGAUGAAGCAUCUAUGGUGUGUAAACUGCUUUUAUACGGGAAGAAACACCGGCUCGUGAACCGGCUUGACGGUACCGUAAGAAUAAGGAUCGGCUAACUCCGUGCCAGCCGCCGCUGUAA